CACGCCCUAAACGAUGUCGACUAGUCGUUCGGAGCAGCAAUGCACUGAGUGACGCAGCUAACGCGUGAAGUCGACCGCCUGGGGAGUACGGCCGCAAGGUUAAAACUCAAAGGAAUUGACGGGGACCCGCACAAGCGGUGGAUGAUGUGGAUUAAUUCGAUGCAACGCGAAAAACCUUACCUACCCUUGACAUGUCUGGAACCUUGGUGAGAGCCGAGGGUGCCUUCGGGAGCCAGAACACAGGUGC
rnacentral:rRNA from 2 species